AUGUCAUCUGUGAUAGGCCGCCCAGUCAGGCCCCUCACUCUCCUUGGCUGCACCGCCACCGGGCUCUCCGUCCGCGUCCCGCUCGCGCACAUCGCGGACCCGCAGCAGCUGCAGCUCUCGCGGCUGAAGGGGCUCAGCCUGGGCUACAAGGAGAACACGCCGCCGGCCCUGAGCGGGACCCGCGUCCUGGCCAGCAAGACCGCGAGGAGGAUCUUCCAGGAGCCCGCGGAGCGGAAAACUACAGCAGCCGCCCCCGGCAUGGAGGAUGAGCCGCUGCUGAGACAAAACCCCUGCCGUUUUUGUCAUCUUCCCCACCGAGUACCAUGAUAUCUGGCAGAUGUAUAAGAAGGCGGAAGCUUCCUUCUGGACCGCGGAGGAGGUGGACCUGUCCAAGGACAUUUGGCACUGGGAAUCCCUGAAGCCCGAGGAGAGAGAUUUUAUAUCCCAUGUUCUGGUUUUCUUUGUAGCAAGUGAUGGCAUAGUAAAUGCAAACUUGGUGGAGCGAUGUAGCCAAGAAGUUCAGGUGACAGAAGCCCGCUGUUUCUGUGGCUUCCAAAUUGCCAUGGAAAACAUACAUUCUGGAAUGUAUAGUUUCCUUAUUGACACUUACAUAAAAGAUCCCAAAGUAAGGGAAUUUCGCUUCAAUGCCAUUGAAACGAUGCCUUGUGUCAAGAAGGCGGCAGAUUGGGCCUUGCACUGGAUUGGGGACAAAGCAGCUACCUAUGGGGAACGUGUUGUAGUCUUUGCUGCAGCGGAAGGCAUCUUUUCUGGUUAUUUUGCAUCGAUAUUCUGGCUCAAGAAACGAGGACUGAUGCCUGGCCUCACCUUUUCCAAUGAACUUAUUAGUGGAGAUGAGGGUUUACACUGUGAUUUUGCUUGCCUGAUGUUCAAUCACCUGGCACACAAACCACUGGAGGAGAGAAUAAGAGGAAGAAUUAUCAAUGCUGUUCGGAUAGAACAGGAAUUCCUCACUGAGGCCUUGCCUGUGAAGCUCAUUGGGAUGAAUUGCACUCUAAUGAAGCAAUACAUUGAGUCUGUGGCAGACAGACAUGCCGGAACUGGGUUUUAGCAAGGUUUUCAGAGUAGAGAACCCAUUUGACUUUAUGGAGAAUAUUUCACUGAAAGACGAACUUCUUUGAGAAGAGAGUAAAGGAGUAUCAGAGGAUGGGAGUGGUGUCGAGUCCAACAGAGAAUUCUUUUACCUUGGAUGCUGACUUCUAAAUGAACUGAAGAUGUGCCCUUAUUUUGCUGAUUUUUUUCCCCCAUCUCAUAAAAAAAUCAGCUGAAGUGUUAUCAACUAGCCACACCAUGAAUUGUCCAUCAUGUUCAUUAACAGCAUCUUUAAAACUGUGUAGCUACCUCACAGUCCUGUUUAUUUAUAAUGCUGGUAGUAUCACCUUUUGCCAGCAGGCCUGGCUGGCUGUGACUUACCAUAGCAGUGACAAUGGCACUCUUGGCUUUAAAGUGAGGGGUGACCCUCUAGUGAGCUUGGCACAGCAGGAUUAAACAAUCAUUUAACCAGCACAGGCAGUUGAAAGAUGCAGCCUCCCUGCUUCAACACAGAUUUUAAUGUUUACUUAAAUAUAAAACUGGCCCUUUACAAACAAAUAAACAUUGUUUGUACUCACAAGGCGAUAAUAGCUUGAUUUAUUUGGUUUCGACACCAAAUACAAAGCAUUCUCCUGACCACUAAUGGGAGCCAAUUCACAAUUCACUAAGUGACUAAAGUAAGUUAAACUUGUGUAGACUAAGCAUGUAAUUUCUAAGUUUUAUUUUAGUGAAUUAAAAUACUUGUUAACCA